UUAUUAUUAUGUAUUUAUUAUAUUAAAAUAUUAAAGUAAAAAGAGCUUUUGUAUUGGUAUCGGAAUCUGAUCGGCCCAUCCCUGAUUUUAUGACUAUUAGGCCUACUUGUAUUGUGACCCUGUUUUGGUUGGAUGGAUGGAUGGAUGGAUGAAUGGAUGGAUGGGCAUACUGUUAUUUUGUGUUGUGACAAAAAGAAAUGCAUGUCAGCUGUGUCAUGAAAUUACUAAUGUCAUGGUGAUACUUUCUCUAUCUUAUUAAAUUGUAGCUAUUGUUUUAUCCUGUACAGUCCAUCCUGCUACAACAUGUGACAUCACACCGCAAGUCUAUUCUAACAUGAUUGAUAUAUUAGUACCCAAGUUCAAUAUGACAUGGAACAUUUGUAUUUGCGUGAUUUUCAGUCAGAGAGAAGAGCAGUACGUGAACUACAACGAGAAACACUUUGAUACAGAAACUCCAACGCGAAGUUCAAGAAUGGCCCAGUCCAAAACAACAAAAAAAAACAGAUGACUAACUAGGUGCAUAAAACGUACAUACCCUAAAACAAUAGAAAUUACAAAUAAAAGGCAAACACUGCCCCUAACUCCCUAACUAGCCAAAACAGCCCAAACACAUAUAAACAGGAACCAAAAAGGCAGCCACUACCCUUUGUGUAUACAGAAUUACCCAGGGACAAACAUAAAAUACACCAGUUAUAAGAUAACACAACUAAGGUAAAUCACAAUCCAACAAGGGUAGUCAGUCCAAGUAAAAAGUCAAUCCCAAGAUCAAAAUUUAAUACAAAUAUGGGGCUGAAAGUGGGGAAUUAAGACAGGAGUUGGCUGUAAAUUCCAGAUACGUGACCCUCAUAUCUGGCAAAGUGAGUAUUGGACACAGUGAUAACAUUUCUUCUAGGAGUUCUGCUCUUCAUCAGCACGGUGCAGUGGGAACACCUCUGGAACCUGGGUUCAGGUCUCUGCCAGGGUUCCACAUGUGUGUAGUUUGCACCAUUCAACCUCUUGCCAUACCCCACUAAGGAAAGUGGCAGCGUCAUCUUGGCGUGCUCUGUUCUUCAUGAUCUCGCUGUGCAUUGCCUGAAGCGGCGGGGUGGCGAUGGCUGUGUGCUGGGUAGAUACUCAUACACUUACAAUCAUACUUAUUUACUUAUUGACACACUGUUUUGUAUUACAGGUGCAGUAGUGGUUAGGUCAUGUCAAUCCUGGAACUUUGCUGUGUUAGUUAUUAUCUGAAAUAUGCAUUAGAUAUUGCCUAUUAAAUCUAAGAUUUAUUAUAGACUUUCUGAAAUACAGACAUGGCGUUUUGCAAGAUCUCACAAAAGUGCAUCUCAACUUAUCCCCCCAUGUCUCUUAUGGGGUUCUGUGAAAAACGUACCGAACAGUGAUUUCAAAACCGAUUUUUCUGUAUCGUUACGCCCCUAAUAUAGUAUUUAAUAUAAUAUCUGGAAUAAUAUGCAGAUUUCAUUUAUUGCUUCUGUCCAACAGCAGUAGAGUCAGUGUAUUAUAGUAUCAGUGAGUUUUUGCAUGAGAAUGAACAUGAAACUGCUUCUUCAGUUGGCAAGUUAACUAAAAAAAUUAAUAAUGACCUUAUCUGAAGCAUUAACUAAAAUAUUAUCAUUAGUACUACUUUAAAGUAGUUGUAUGAGUAUGAAUAUUACUCAACAUUCAUCAAUGUAUUUUCUUAAAGUGAUAAUUUGUUUUAUAUUUAGGAUUCUUGUCAAUAUUACAAUUAUGAGCUACAUUUUGGCUGAUGAGUAAAAAUAAUUUAUUUCACUGUAGCAUGGUGUUUAUUUUGUUUCUUAAAAACAGUUAUCACCUGUGCUUGCUUUGUCUUGUAUGUAGUAUGUUUGACGCCAUAAACAUUUUGCACAUAGUAAUAGGUUAGAAUCAUUGUUAAAUGGUGCCGCAUCGUUUAUAAAAUGGUGCCGCAUCGUUUAUAAACGUGUGGGCACACAACACUCGUUAUUGGCACAGGUAUGCACUCCAGGUGCACUGAUGGUUUUUUAUUUUAUUUAAUUUAUACAUAUUGUAUAUGUUUUUAUCAUAGAGUACAUCUGGUCCCUUCCUGUAAUCAUACUGUUUCAUGUAACACCACAAGAAAAGCAAUAUAUUAAGUAAAGAACAAACCGUAUCUUUAAAAAACCUUUCGAGUUCAUUAUCUGGAUUAAAUACUGUAAUACUGUAACUGAAAGGACAUUUGGAUGGCUGAAAAUGCAUUUCAGAUAUUAAGUCAUGUAAAUAUUACAAUGCAGCCCUCAGAAGGUCACGGUAUUCUUUGUGGUAUGUUGUAUGUUGCGUGACAUUACCAUGCGUGAUGGAUGUCUGUCGGACAUAAAUGAGGACACAUUAUAGGACUUCAGAAGGCGUGAUGCUGAACCGCAUGUGCCGAUGCCAACAAAGGAGUGUACGCUGGCAGCAGCGCGGGCAAGGAGGGGUCAGCUGGCAGAGGAGCUGAAUCGUCUGUAGCCUGAUGAUCAGCUGAUGCCAGAAAACGAGGACACACUCGUUGCUACCUCAUCCCACGCCUGCUUCAGAUGGAACAGUGGCGCUCCCGUAGAUGCGUAUGAGCACGUCCGUUUACUCGGGAAGAAGGUGAUCUGGCUCGCCGGGAAAACGUGCAAAUUGUAAUAGCAAUCCGCUGUAGAUUUUGCGUCGCUGCUUUUUAAAGGUAAUGGAUAGCAACUGGUAGCACUGAGAGACCAAGAACGCGAAGUAUGAGGUGCAUUUGUUGAAGAAUGAGCUGCCGUACUGGAUUAUUGAAAACAAAAUGGAGUCUGAAUGUUGUUUUGGAGACAAAGAGGAGGAGGAGACAAAGGGCUGUAGAUACAACUGUGGCUGCCACCCCUGGUGAUUCUGGAGCUUCCAACACAGAAGAAAUUCUGGUUACAGGAUUUAGAGAGGCUACAUCACAGACACAACAUGAGUCUGAAGGUGGGAACUUAGAGGAAAUGGAGGAGGUCCGUCUAAAGAAGCGAAAGCGCAGGAGGCACGUUGUCAAGGAAAUGAGGAAAGAAGAUGGGGAAAUAGUGAAAAAAAGACGUGGCCGACCCCCGGCUGAAAAGUUCCCCCCUAACCCUCCAAAACUUACCAAGCAGAUGAAUGCCAUUGUGGAGACUGUCAUUAACUACAAAGAUGGGUCUGGCCGAAAGCUCAGUGAAGUUUUUGUCCGGUUGCCCUCCAGAAAAGAACUGCCGGAAUACUAUGAGCUGAUAAGAAAGCCUGUGGACUUCAGAAAGAUAAAGGAACGUGUCCGUAACCACAAGUACAGAAGCGUGGAAGAUCUGGAGGAAGAUGUCAUGCUUCUGUGUCAUAAUGCUCAGACUUUUAACCUGGAGGGAUCCCAGGUCUAUGAGGACUCAAUUGUCCUCCAGUCAGUGUUUCGGAGUGCCAGGCAGAAGAUAACGAGUGAAGUGGAGAACAAAGAUGAGAGCGCAGCUGAUGACGAUGAAGAGGAGCCUGAUUCAAAAGCUAUGAAGGUGAAUAUAAAACCUGAUGAAAGUGACCACGACAAGGACAAAAAACAUCAAAACCGGGCCAGUGCCAAACUGGUCGUUAGUGACGACGAGAGUGAAGAUCAAGAUGAUAACAUAGGUUGGGUCUGUCAUAUUAUCAGUGCUGCGAUGAUAUUACAUUAACCUUAAAAAUAAGUUCAGUGAUGUUAUUUCAUAUUAACCAUUAGUCUACUGACAAAAAUGAUGUAUGUAACCGCAGUAUUUCUGUUUUCUGCUGCAGGAUUAGUAUGAGAAGAUAAUCCAAGGAUGCUUGGAACACAGAUGAGUGAAGAAGAGAAGAGCUGAUGCACAACUUUUUACUACGUUUCUUCAGUUGUUUGAUUUUCUGUCUCUUUUUGCGUCUUUUUUAAUCCCUUUCUCCCUCGGCCAGCUUUAACAAAAGAAAAUCACUGUGGAGAGCCUUCCGACGCCGGUCACCCCUCCUCAUUGCUAACACAACGGGGAGAGCCACUACUUCUAUGUGUAUGUGAACUAGUGUAUGUUAACUAGUUGCCAUGCAAAUAUUGAAACAACCCCAAACAACAGGAUCUAGGCUGUAAUAAUCAAAACAAUCAAAUACAGAAUUAUAAAAAGCAUGAUAAAAAAGGUUUACUAUUUUAAAAAAGUUAAUUUAAUAUUUCAAUAAAAAGUAUAACAUAUAAUCAUUAUAUUUGUAGCAGUUUAUUUACUCACAAUUCAUUCAAAUAAACUUAAAUGAUAAAGGCAAUUCUAAUGCUGCAGUAGAGAUAUUUUAGUGAGGCAGUCGGUUUUCUAUGACCUUAUGGAGUUGUUAAUACAUCACUAUUCUUUUGGUAAACAAGGAACAACAAAAUUUCAAAACAUUAAUUUUUAAAUUCAAUUUCCUAAUUUGCAAAAUUGAAUAUAGUAUCAUUCUGUCCAUGUAAUUAUGUACACAAUCAUAAAGCACAUUAAGUUGUAUGUCUUGCAAGCUUUCCCAGGGCUGUGAAUAAAAAGUUUUGUUCAAAUUACAUUUAGCUAGGUGAUGACAAUUUAUCUCCUGUAUCCAAUUAACAAGCAGUGAUUGUGUAACCAUAAAGCCUCGCCACUACUGUUUUGUAUUUUUAUACAUUUAAAACUUCUACACGACUUAAUGGAUAGUGAGAUUUUCAGUUCAGUGGUUUUAUUAAGUUAUGCAGUUCCUACAUUCUUCCAGAAUUUUACAUUUUAUAUUUUUCAUUAAUGAUUUCACAUUCCAUAAUGAUUUAAGAUUACUCAAAAUGUAUUACAUUUUACUUAGAAUGUUAAAAAUCUUCAAUGGCCAGUAAUGGAGAAUUUGGAUCAUGAUUAUUAUUAAAUUGCUGUUACUAACACAGUUUUGAAGGAGUGAUGAAGGUCUUAAAUUUAUUUACAGAAUAUUUCAAGAAUAUAAAUAAAACAACACACGACAACCUUCCUGUAGUGUUUUAAGGCACAUUUUCCAUUCUGCAUCACUUUAAUUAUUUUCAGUGUGACAUAUAAUUAGCUAUUUUACAUUUUGUGGCUUCGUGUUUGAAUUAUAUUCAUCCUAAAGGCACAUCUGGCACAUCUACAUGCAGUUUAAUCCGACUUAAACAUAUCCUGUACAGUAUGAGGGAUAAGGCACCUUCUCCUGAAGUGUACUUAAUUAGUCUUUGGUGGUAAGUUGUAGCCCGAGGCCAAAAAAAAGACGAAAAAAAAAACAAAAUUGAUUCUGAUUGCAUGUGAUGUGUGUUCUGUAACUGUUAAACUUACAUUUUGAAGUAAAAUUGUCUGAAGUACUGCAGGUAUACUUUGCAUUAUAUUUGUUUACUUACAAUAUUUUGUAUGUGAAAUAUUCUAAAUACAUGCAAGUUUACACUGUGGAUAUUAAGAACAUGUUAUUUCAGAUAAUAUGUAAAAAUGUUUGUGCUUUAUCGUUCUAUUCUUGAAUUUACAAUGUCAAGUCAGCACUCGAAAGCAUCAUAUCUAUAAGGAACAUUCUAAAAUAAUUUGUUUUUUCUGCAAUGAAUGUCUUACAAACUCUGAUCCACAUUAUAACAAUGUGAUUUUUAAAAUGAAUCAAAGCAUACAAAAUAGAAGCUGAAGAUCACGCUAAUUUUUUCUUUGCUUACAUGAAACAUUUGACUAUCAAUGCUUGAUUGAUUAUGCUGAUAUACGUUGUUCUUAUUUUCAGGUUGUUAAGAGUAACUUGUGAGAUUUUUCCACUAUCUGACUGUACCAGAAUGUACCAAGAAGUUGUUUCUGAUUCUUUUUAUGUGACAUACAAUUGCCCUGCUCCAUAUCAUUACCCGAGGCCACCUUGAUUGGGGCUAUUUUGAUUUUUCAAAAAGGUCUAGUUUUCUUUAAAUGUUGUGUGAUUAUUGAUGAAUUUAAAAAUCUUGUGUCAUUAAAUGAUACAAGCCCAAACAUUUUUAAACAUUUAUCUAAUACUUCAUAAUCUAGCUGGUGUUUGAGCAUUUGAAGACUGAUUGUUAUGGUAUUUACUUAAUGGUAUUUUAAGUUUAUGCUGUGAGAUUUGUUAGCAUUUCAGAAAAGACAAAAAGCCAAAAAACCAAGAAUUUUGACUUGGCAAGCCCUGUGACAGCCUUUUUAAUACGUCAUCACCUUAGUCUGGAAACGUGAUUGUAGUGUCAAAAACAAGUCCACCCUUGUUGAGCCUUGGUCAUACUCAUCAUGAUAGUGGGGAAACUGCAUUAGGGAUAGUAAUUUGGAUUAGGAAUGGAUUCAUCUUGACUGUGGUAUGUUUUUCUUUCUGUAUUGAACUUAACGACACGCAAAAAGGUUUAAACACAAUCUUUCUUGAAACUGACUUUGACUAGCAUUGAUUUCCUACAAGGGCCAUUGUGGAAAAACAUGACUACCUUGGGGAAAUAUGGUUGCAUGUAAGAGGGGACCAAACAAUAUUUAUAAAAUAUAAAAUUCAUGUACUUUAAAAUUAUAUUUAAUGAGACAAAAUAAACAUAGAUUACACUAAAGUGUUAUAUAUAAAAUAUGCAAUUCCCUUCACAUGUUACCUGACACUGAACAGGAUGCACUGAGAAUCAAACAAUAAUAUAAACCAACAGAGCAAUGCUUUUCAAAGUGCAGUUCAAAAUCUUAUUAAAAAGACAACAACUAUACUGCAAAUGGUACUAUUGCUAUCAUGUUUUAGGUAUAACAGAAAGCUGUUUCUGCCAAAUGACCCUGUAUGAUGACAGUAUAUUUUGCUGAGGAAAUCUUUGCACAUUUUUAAUCACUGUAACUCUGCUACAGCUUUUAUUGACAAUAAAUGUUGGAACCCUAUAGCACUGUAUUCAGCACAAAAAUGAGAUACUCUGUCCUAUUUCACAAUUUAUGCAGUCUAAUCUGUUACAGCUGGAACAGACCUAUGAUUCUUUUUGGUGGAAAAAUUUGAACACCAGGCACCUAAUUAAUUUUCCAGAAGCUAUAGCCAUGGCAAUUUAAAUCCUUGAUUACAAGGAUUAAGCUUGUCGCAUUUUGUUGAAUGUCUUCACUGGGCUUCAUUUGACGUAAUCUGUAUCUGCAUAAGUCUGUCUGUAUCUGGUGGAAUCAUAUACCGCAGCAAGAAUAUGGAAUGCCUAUGAUAGCCAUUGAGUGAACUUGGGACCCUUCAAUUAGAAAAAGAAUUACUGCUCAUUGACUUAAAUUCAGAACUUUUUAGGGUUAUCCAAUUUUAACAUAUGCUAUUAAUUAUUAGCCACAGCAGCCUCAGAUGUUCCCCAUUGUGUUAUACCCAUUGUUGCUUUGCUGUAUGUCUGAUGGAAUGGUAAAAUGUGAAAAAGAAUGUUAUCCGGAAUAGAUUAACUUGUAAAAAAUGUAAACAGAACUCUAGAACUCUGUAACUGUUUAGAACUCUAUAAGCUUUCUAACAUGCAUAUGCUUGAUGAUUUCUUUAAAAAUAUUUGUACCUCA